CCUCUCCAGCGCUUGCCCUUAAUCCUAUCUCGUCAUUUCGGUUAUUGUAAUCUACUUUAUGAAAGCUUAUGAAACUAAUCGUUGCACAUGGUGACAGUGCUGUGGGUGACUGAGACAUUAUGAGCUUCUUACUCAGCAAGGGGGCCAAGCGAAGCUGUUUGUAUUUGAAGGCGAGCUGAAAGAGUCUAAAUGAGAUUAGGUCCUCAAAGGCAGUGGCUUCUGAGUGAACUCAGACAAUCUAUUAGACUUAUACUCUAUAAACUAGACUGUAUUAUGUCAGUCUUUAUUUAACCUCUUGCUGUUGCUUGCUCACUGUUUACACGAGGCAAGGAAUAUAUAUCCAGAGGAGAAAGAACCACUCUGCUUGGAGAGUCACGACCUUUUCCAUGCCUAAAUAAAUAAAACUAUAAAGAUGCAAUGGGUCCAUUGCAGGAGACGAUGAGAGGGCCCAUUUAAAGCUUUGUAAAUCUGAUUGGGUUGGCCCUUUAAUUAACUUGUAAAUUAAUGCACCGUGCUGUGUAAAUUGGAAGGUGAUAAAUAUUCAUGUAGUUACCUAAGGAAAAAGGGCAAGGACAUACCACAGACAUCACCAGAUUGAGUUUGUGAGCAGCAUGCUCGGUAAACACCCCUAUUGGUAUUUUACAGACAGCUAAUUUGCAUUUCUUAUGCUUCAUGGGUUUUGCAAAAAAAAAAAAAAAGAGUCACUCUGUGCCCCUGUAGUCACUUCAUACCACCCCCACUCGGCUUCUGUUUAUCUUUCCAAUGUCAGGUCAAGCUAUUAUACAAGGAAAGCUGUCCUGCACUUGAAACACUUCUGAGACUCGAUUCAUAAUUUAUCUGAGAUUUAAGCAACAGUAAAUACUGUAAAUGUUACUCAAAUUGGCCGUGAAAAGUGUCCAUUUGUGUGUGGAGUGUGUGAAAGUUCAGAACCAAGUGUGUGUCUGUCAUGUAGGAAACCUAAUAUCAAGAGCCAGGGAACCCUCCUUAUCCAACUGGGAGAUAUUUGAGCCUAGGACGUUCAGACACUGGACGCUGUUACAUCUAUUUAUAUCUAUGUCUUCAUAGCUGAGGUAAACACAGUUUAGAGUUCAGAUAAUGAAAGGAACUGCACGGAACACGCACGUUAAAGGUAAUUUGAAGGACAGAUCACUUGAUUUGGCUGCCUGAUUGGAAUCUUCUCCUCAUGGCAGCAGUAAAAUAAUUUAUCC
ensembl:lncRNA